CCAUGCCGCGUGGUGAUGAAGGCCUAGGGUUGUAAAGCCCUUUCGGCGGGGAAGAUAAUGACGGUACCCGCACGAAGAAGCCCCGGACUAACUUCGUGC
rnacentral:rRNA from 1 species